GGACUACUGGGGUAUCUAAUCCUGUUUGCUCCCCACGCUUUCGCGUCUCAGCGUCAGUACCGUCCCAGCGAGCUGCCUUCGCCAUUGGUGUUCCUCCUGAUAUCUGCGCAUUUCACCGCUACACCAGGAAUUCCACUCGCCUCUUCCGGACUCUAGCCCGACAGUAUCCACCCGCCUUCCGGGGUUGAGCCCCGGACUUUCAGAGCGGACUAAUCGAGCCGCCUACACGCUCUUUACGCCCAAUAAUUCCGGACAACGCUUGCACCCUACGUAUUACCGCGGCGGCUGGCAC
rnacentral:rRNA from 1 species